rnacentral:rRNA from 1 species
AUUGAACGCUGGCGGCAUGCCUUACACAUGCAAGUCGAACGGCAGCGGACCUUCGGGUGCCGGCGAGUGGCGAACGGGUAAGUAAUAUAUCGGAACGUACCUUUCAGUGGGGGAUAACGUAGCGAAAGUUACGCUAAUACCGCAUAUUCUGUGAGCAGGAAAGCAGGGGAUCGCAAGACCUUGCGCUGAUUGAGCGGCCGAUAUCAGAUUAGCUAGUUGGUGAGGUAAAGGCUCACCAAGGCGACGAUCUGUAGCGGGUCUGAGAGGAUGAUCCGCCACACUGGAACUGAGACACGGUCCAGACUCCUACGGGAGGCAGCAGUAGGGAAUUUUGGACAAUGGGCGCAAGCCUGAUCCAGCCAUGCCGCGUGAGUGAGAAGGCCUCGGUUGUAAG